rnacentral:lncRNA from 1 species
GGCAGUGAAGAAUGGGACGGGGCGGAAAGAACGCGGAGCGCGAAUGCUCAAGGCGGCUUGGAGAACCGAGCUUGGAAUCCCGGCGGGGUCAGGUUGGUUCUGUUUGCCGGGCGGUUGCCCCUUAGGAAAGCGAAGAGCGUGGCGUUGGGCUCCCCGCGUGCUGAGUCAGAGCUCCGCAGCCAGCUGGAAUCUGCCUCAGUUUCCUGGCCUGUAAAACGGGCUGAUCAGAUACUUUGCACCAUGCUCACCUUCGUGAUGAACAUUGAUUGGCAUUAGACUAAGAGCUGUGAGAGGCAGAAAAGGAAAAAACACAGGCCUUGACCUGUAGGACUUAAUAGCUACCUUAGAUAAUAAUUACUGUUUACUAGGCACUGUUGUCCGUCAAUCCUCAAACAAUCCUAAGAGAUAGGUACUGUUGUCAUCAUCUCUGUGUGACGGAUGAGGAAACUGAGGCACAACCAAAGUAAGAGGCAGGGUUUUGAAUCUGGGCCGCCGGGCUCGCGAAUUCAUGCUCUUCAUUGCACACCACAUCACCUAUUUAGUUUAGUGGGGGAUGGACGCAUAAAUAAAUAGAUACAGGGCACAAUGGUAGAUGCGCAAAGUACCACAGGAGCACAAGAGGCCCACUGCGCUCAGGAUUUGAGGAGGGGGCACCACGAGAGAGGCAUUUCCUGAAUGAGAUGGCACCUGGGCAGUGUCGGAAAGCACGAAGAGGAAUCAGCUGGGAACAGAAGGGAGGAAAGAAAACUGCAGCCAGAGAGGAGGGCAUGGAACAAGACUUCCAAGAAGAGAUUCCUACUCUUGCCAUGCUCCAUGGGGUGGGAACAAAAAACGUUCCUGUUUUACAAAGACACGAAGUUUGUUGGAUACUGAUAAAAAGUUUGAUGGAACUCCAAGUCACUUGAAAGGAGAGGCACUUUGGUGUAAGAGCUCCAUGCGUGCUGUGGACAGCAUUUCCAGCAGAACCCUAGGAAGCUGCUCUCUGAGACAGGUUGCAGGAUACUGUGGGCUUGUGUUUUCCCACGAGAACUUACAACAAGCAGUCAAAACCUCCCUUUUCUAAUAAAAGAAAAAUACACCUUUCUGAAUGAAUGCUUGAGGAAUGUCCUUUUCCUGCUGGCUCAGGUUUAGCCCCCAGCUGGCAUUUUUUUAAAACAGCGUACAGCCCUUGUGAGCCCACAUUCAACAUUUUUUGAUACAUUUGAUCCAUCCUUGGCUUCUACAGAAAAUAAGGAAGAUAAGCUUAGAGAGAGGUGGCUUAGUAUUGAAGAAAGGUUGACCCCCCUCCCAAUGCACAAA